rnacentral:rRNA from 1 species
GACGAACCGUGCGGCCGUUGUUCGGAUUCACUGGGCGUAAAGGGUGCGUAGGCGGCCGUGCAAGUCUGGCGUGAAAGCCCCGGGCUCAGCCCGGGAAGUGCGCUCGAAACUGCGCGGCUCGAGUGCCGGAGGGGAGAGUGGAAUUCCUGGUGUAGCGGUGAAAUGCGUAGAUAUCAGGAGGAAUACCGGUGGCGAAAGCGACUCUCUGGACGGCAACUGACGCUGAGGCACGAAAGCGUGGGGAGCAAACAGG